GGCGCGGUGGCUGAGUGGUAAAGCGCUUGACUUCCGAACCGGGGAUCCCGGGUUCGAAUCCUGGUGAAGCCU
rnacentral:tRNA from 1 species